GCAUCGGUGGUUCGGUGGUGGAAUUCUCACCUUCCAUGCCAGAUAUCCAGGUUCAAUUCCCGGCCAAUGCA
rnacentral:tRNA from 1 species